AUGCUCCUGCGCAUCGCCUCCGGGGCUCUCGUCGUGCUGGUUCUCGGAGACUACUUCGUGGUCGCCAACCGCGGCGCUUCUAGGGCCGCGAUCUACCGCGGCCUUGAGGCUGUGUCGCUCACCCCCGAGCACGCGCCUAUGCCACAAAAUGCAGGAGGUGAUGUGGUUGGAUCUACCAGCAGAGUUGAAGACGUUAUGCCUCCUCGCGCUUUUUUUGGUAGCUCAAAGAUUAUGGCUACUGCCCCAGAACCUGAGGUCGUCGCGGUGAAGCGGAAGCCAUGGGACAAGUUCCUGAUCCUGGCCACCGGCGGGCUCUGGGACGUCGUCACUCCAGGCGAUGUGUGCACCUUCAUCGAGAAAAGAUUGAGCGCGUACAUACCGCGGAUCAUCAUGUCGUCGGACAAGAAGCCAACGAACAGCAGCGGCCCUCCCUGUGCCAACAUACUCGCCAAUGAGUUGGCCGCACAUGCGAUCAGCAAGGGCACCAAGCACAACGUGAACAUCGUCGUCAUACUACUCAAGAAUUUCUGGGACCAGAGUCUUCCCUCAAGUUCUAAGAAGUGA
rnacentral:rRNA from 1 species